AACGAACGCUGGCGGCGGGCCUAACACAUGCAAGUCGAGCGCCCAGCAAUGGGAGCGGCGGACGGGUGAGUAACGCGUGGGAAUUUUCCUCAAGGUACGGAACAACUCAGGGAAACUUGGGCUAAUACCGUAUGAUGUCUAGCGACCAAAGAUUUAUCGCCUUGAGAUGAGCCCGCGUCAGAUUAGGUAGUUGGUGGGGUAACGGCCUACCAAGCCUGCGAUCUGUAGCUGGUCUGAGAGGACGAUCAGCCACAUUGGGACUGAGACACGGCCCAAACUCCUACGGGAGGCAGCAGUGGGGAAUCUUGCGCAAUGGGCGAAAGCCUGACGCAGCCAUGCCGCGUGAAUGAUGAAGGUCUUAGGAUUGUAAAGUUCUUUCGCUCGUGACGAUGAUGACGGUAACGAGAGAAGAAGCCCCGGCUAACUUCGUGCCAGCCGCCGCCGUAA
rnacentral:rRNA from 1 species